rnacentral:lncRNA from 1 species
AUAUUAUUUAUUAAAAGCAGAUAUUGCAUAUAUUUUUGGUGAGCCAAAAACUGUGUCAACAGCACCAUAGUCUAAGAAACCAUUUUGGACGCACUUGUUGGUACGCCUAGGUGAAGGGGCUCAAGUGGAUGCUCGGUUCGGUCUAUUUGGAGAUAGUGCUAAUCUUGGUGCAAGAUAGGAGCACGGUUUACAUGGAACAUACCAAAUGCUUGGACAUCAAUCUGGACGCACAUGAUGGAACUCCUAGAUGAUGUGUGUCAUAUGAAAUCUUGUUUCGGUCUAUUUGGAGACAGUGUUAGUUUCGGUGCAAGAUAGGUGCAAGGUCUACACAUAAUGCAGCAUAGGCUAAGAAACCAUUUUGGACGCACCCGAUGGUACUCCUAGGUAAAAGGCUCAAGUGAAAGCUCGGUUUGGUCUACUUAGAGAUAGUGCUAAUCUUGAUGCAAGAUAGAUGCACGGUCUUCAUGGAACGUACCAUAUGUUUAGAAAUUAAUUUGGACACACCUGAUAGAACUCCUUGAUGACGUGUGUCAUAUAGUAUCUCGCUUUGGUGUGCUUAGAGACAGUAUUAGUUUUGGUGCAAGAUAUGUGCACGGUUUGUGUCUAAUGCACCAAAGUCUAAGAAACCAUUUUGGAAGCACCUGUUGGAAGUCCUAGGUGAAGAGACUCAAGUGGAGGCUU